UAGGACAUCUUUGAGAGUCUACAGUAUGCC
rnacentral:piRNA from 1 species